CACGUAGGGCGCAAGCGUUGUCCGGAAUUAUUGGGCGUAAAGAGCUCGUAGGCGGCCAACUAAGUCAUACGUGAAAUCCCUCAGCUUAACUGGGGAACUGCGUGUGAUACUGGAUGGCUUGGAUUUGGGAGAGGGAUGCGGAAUUCCAGGUGUAGCGGUGAAAUGCGUAGAUAUCGGGAGGAACACCAGUGGCGAAGGCGGCUUCCUGGCCUGUUCUUGACGCUGAGGCGCGAAAGCUAGGGGAGCAAACGGG
rnacentral:rRNA from 1 species